rnacentral:rRNA from 1 species
CUACGUGCCAGCAGCCGCGGUAAUACGUAGGGCGCGAGCGUUGUCCGGAAUUAUUGGGCGUAAAGAGCUUGUAGGCGGUUGGUCGCGUCUGCUGUGAAAGGCUGGGGCUUAACCCUGGUUUUGCAGUGGGUACGGGCUAACUAGAGUGCAGUAGGGGAGACUGGAAUUCCUGGUGUAGCGGUGGAAUGCGCAGAUAUCAGGAGGAACACCGAUGGCGAAGGCAGGUCUCUGGGCUGUAACUGACGCUGAGAAGCGAAAGCAUGGGGAGCGAACAGGAUUAGAUACCCUGGUAGUCCAUGCCGUAAACGUUGGGCACUAGGUGUGGGGGACAUUCCACGUUUUCCGCGCCGUAGCUAACGCAUUAAGUGCCCCGCCUGGGGAGUACGGCCGCAAGGCUAAAACUCAAAGAAAUUGACGGGGGCCCGCACAAGCGGCGGAGCAUGCGGAUUAAUUCGAUGCAACGCGAAGAACCUUACCAAGGCU